rnacentral:rRNA from 1 species
UCCUACGGGGGGCGGCAGUGGGGAAUAUUGCACAAUGGGCGGAAGCCUGAUGCAGCAACGCCGCGUGAGGGAUGACGGCCUUCGGGUUGUAAACCUCUUUUAGCAGGGAAGAAGCGAGAGUGACGGUACCUGCAGAAAAAGCGCCGGCUAACUACGUGCCAGCAGCCGCGGUAAUACGUAGGGCGCAAGCGUUAUCCGGAAUUAUUGGGCGUAAAGAGCUCGUAGGCGGUCUGUCGCGUCUGCUGUGAAAUCCCGAGGCUCAACCUCGGGCCUGCAGUGGGUACGGGCAGACUAGAGUGCGGUAGGGGAGAUUGGAAUUCCUGGUGUAGCGGUGGAAUGCGCAGAUAUCAGGAGGAACACCGAUGGCGAAGGCAGAUCUCUGGGCCGUAACUGACGCUGAGGAGCGAAAGGGUGGGGAGCAAACAGGCUUAGAUACCCUGGUAGUCCACCCCGUAAACGUUGGGAACUAGUUGUGGGGUCCUUUCCACGGAUUCCGUGACGCAGCUAACGCAUUAAGUCCCGC